GAACAUGGAGAUUCUACCAAUGUCAGUGCUAACAAUAGACUCCAUAGUGCUUUUGAUGUUGAUCCUUUCAAUAAGGACUACCAUUAGAUCCCCCUCUAGAGUUCUUCGAAGGAAUGGAGUUUGCAUCACUUGAAGGCACAACGAAUCACUACACAAGGUACGCAGGGUCGUAUUGUUAAAUCAAGAACAAAUGGCAUGAUAAUUGGCUAAGAGAUCCAUUUAUUUCAAAAGAG
rnacentral:lncRNA from 1 species